rnacentral:lncRNA from 1 species
GUAAUAUUACGUGCCUGCCAUCCUUAUCCUAUGCCAGAGGUACACCACCAGUCUCACCCCCAUUCCGGCGUGGAGUUCUCUGAGUUCGGUGGCACUUGGGAUAUUCCACGUCAGUGCCAUGGGAAGAAAAGGGUAAGCAAAAAGCAGAAGGAUUAAUGCAAAAAUAUAUACAUCUAUAUAUCUGAUGUUCUAGUAUCCAAUUGCUCCUGCUUCAGCCUUUUAUCCAAAGCCUUGAGAGGGAUCUGCCUCAUCCAGGAGCUUCUCCUGCUUCGUUAGAGUAUCUUCGUUUUCUGUAUCAGACGCUGGCACUCCACGCCAGUGCACGGCUCCAUGGAAUGCCUGCUGUUGGACACUUGCAGACCUCUGCCACCAAACAACCUCCUGCAUUGGAAAUCGGGGGACUCCUCCAGGAUCUUAUGCGCGCUUGCUGUUUGAAGCUGCAGAAAAGUGAAUAAUCAAUUAAGUAUUGAUUUCUUGUAAGAUUUGGUAAAUUUCAAAGGCAAGACAAAGAGGAUGGCUUAAGGAAACACUGCAGGGACUUGGCGUAAAUUAGACAACUAACGGAAGCGCAGAAUAAAAUAACACCUCAACUGAAGAUUUCCUUGGAAGAAUUAGCACUAGCUAUUGGAAGACAAUGGUGGAUUUAAUCAAAACAGCAGGCAUGCAAGAAUUUUACCCGUGAACCAGAAAAAGGAGCUAAUUAUAACCACCUUUUUAAUGGAGCUAAUUUGACUGAAUGGAUGCAAAUGUGCUUUAUUUAUGGAUGAAGAAGCAAGCCUUACUGCAAUGAUCUUGGGAUCAUCGUAUCUGCUAAGCUUUGCAGCUCCUGUUACCUUCAGUACAUUUUUAUUUCCGGAGAAGGUAUUUAUAUGUAAACAACAGCUAACCAUGCAAAAGAUUCAUCGGGACAAUAUACUAUGGUAUAUGAGAUAUAAUCAUAAUUUUGCAGCCUUUCAGGAUUUCCCCUAACUUGGGGGUUUUGCAACCUUUGCGUGCAAUGGGUUAUGGUAAACAAUAAAUGAAUGAUGUUAAACUGUUGUGAUUUUUCAAUGUGUAAUGUAUUAACCUUAGCUUUCUUAACAUGUUGAUUCAGAAUUAUUUGGCAAUUAAUCCAUUAGGAAAGGAAGGGAAUUGUUGGGUGGGGUUUUUUAAAUGCAUUUGUAGUCUUCUUAGAGAUCGGAAUGUAUAGGUCCCACCAGCCCAUGAGCUCUAUAAUUAUAAAAGAAUGGUAAAAAUUUUUGACAAUUUGAGAAAUUGGUUUUAUAAUGGGAACAAUGUGUUAUGAUCAGUAAAAAGAGAAUUGUUAUGUUUUCUCUGGGAGUAGAAUGUUCUUGAGUGGUUAACUCCUCUGUUGCUGAUGAGAAGUAAGUAUCUUGUAACUGGCAAGAAAGAGGGAUUGUAAUGACAAUGCUUUGUUCCUAGCCAUCCUCACAUUGCAGGCUGAAGUGCAUUUUAAACAUUUCCUUCUCUUUCUAUUAUUUUCUUUCUCUAUUUUUCUUCUUUUCAUCAUUUUUUGCUGUCUUGCAAUCUAUGUUCCCUGAGCAACCAUAGGAACCAAGUUACAUUAAGCUUCAACACAAAGACCUUGUAAGAAUAAUGAAUCCUCAUUUGCAUCGACAUUUGUAUUCAGAUUUGCCAGGCUAUAAACUUGGCAGAUCAAGCGGAAUAUUAAGUAGAGGCUUCCAUGGUAAAUUGUGGCUCUUGAAAUUGCUAAACUCCCCCCCUUUUUUUCUAUCUGUGGUGGCAGGUGAAGUCUCAUGACUACUUGCUUAAGAAGCACAUUGGCCCCUUCAUCUUUCACUAUAUGAUGUCAAUUUCAAGCGGAAGAGGGAAAAACCAGUAGUAGGUAUUCUAGCCGAAGGUACAAUACGACAUGUGACUGGAACAUUAACUAAAGGCCAGAGACCACGAGAGAGAGGCAUCUUGAAGCAAUUGAAUGGUGUAGGGAAAUUAAUUAUCAUAUGUUGGGCUAAGGUUUGAUUUUUCUGGCAUAUUCAAAAUAUAUUGAUCUCAUAAAAGUUCACACUCAUUUUUAAACAUUUCUAAAGGUUAUAUAGCGAGGACCGAGGUAGCUCUUUACUUGUGCAACACUGCCAGUUGGAGUCAUCAUCGCUGGUCUACUUGUGCCCAUUCUUGAAAUACUUAAAAUGCCUUAUUUUAAUAAGUCACUAUGGAUUGACUGACUCAACCCUUAGCUUUGCUUGAUUCUGAAGUAGUAAAGUAGGAACAGUCACAAUUACUUCUGCGUAAGUUCAGAAAUAUGACCCAUAAGGCCAAAUCUACAAUACAGUAAACAAUGGGGUGAAAAAUGUAGACUUUAAUUUCCAUGUUUGGUCCAAUCUAUGCAAUGCCAAACAAGUGAGUAAUUGGAAACAUUUGUGCAUGACUUAAUUUUUCAUGCAUUAUCCCAUUGUUUCAGAAUCUUAUAAACAGAGCCCAAACCUAUGACCUAUUAACAAAUUCUCACUUCUUGCCAUUUUCUUUCUCUUAAGGACCCUUCACGAGUAGGGAGCAAUAAAAUGUAUUAGAAGAUCAGCCUUGAAAUGAACUUACGAUGGACAUCUUAACAAUGGCUUUUCCUUAUUAAAUGUGUGGGUUUUUUUUCAAUUUAACUAGUGUAAAUGAUGAAAUGUAGAUUGGGUCUAUUCUAAAGAUAUUCCUUUAUGGUAUAUCAUAAAGAAUUGUGAGAUUUUAGUAACUACCAUAGCAAUUGACUCAACUCUUACUUUAAUUUGAGGUAAGCUUUAAUUGUAUGUGGUGAAAUGGGAGAAUACUUCAUGAAUGAUGUUGGACUCUUUUUGGAAAAUGUGCACCAGUAAAUAUUUAGACUGGAGGAUCACAUUUCAUAACCUUCCAUAAACUUAUAAAACUAUUUAUAAGAGACUUGCCAAAACAUGUAUAUUAGUAUGAUUUAUAUUAAUAUACUACAAGGUGGCAUAUUCUAAAGUUGGUAUUAGGUAGUCUUAAUAGAACUGGGUUUUCGACUCUGAAAAGUAAAAUGCAACUUAUGACUUUUUGAGAAUUGCAUGUUUGCAUUUCACAAUCUCAUCAUUUUUAAGAGAAAUAAGCUAUUAGAUAAUUUGAU